CACCACUUCGCGCGCUCUCUCUCUCUCUCUCUCUCUUCGAUCUUCUUCUUCUUCGUCGAAUCUGAGCAGUCGAGGGAAUGGGUAUGGCGUACAAAUCCCUGGACUCCAUCACCAGGUCCGACAUCGAAGCCCACGGAAUCUCGCCUCCUGUCGCGGAGAAGCUGAGCGCGGAGCUCGCGCGGAUCCUCCGUGCUCACGGCGCCUCGCCUCCUGCCACGUGGCGGGCCAUCUCCGCGGGCCUCCUCGAGCCCGAUCUACCGUUCUCGUUCCACCAGUUGAUGUACUACGGCUGCUACGAGGACUUCGGACCCAACCCGCCCGCCUGGUUUCCCGACCCGAAGGCUGCUCAGGAAACAAAUGUUGGCCAAUUACUUGAAAGAAGGGGGAAAGAGUUUUUGGGUGGGAAAUACAAGGAUCCCAUUUCAAGCUUCUCUGAUUUUCAGAAAUUUUCCUUAUCAAGCCCUGAGGUUUAUUGGGCAACUGUACUUGAGGAACUAAGCAUAUUAUUUUCGGAACCUCCUAAAUGUAUCUUACUUGAGGAUCCAUCUGACAAAAGCCAUCCAGGGGGUCAAUGGCUUCCUGGAGCAUAUUUGAACCCAGCAGCGAAUUGCCUAUCUUUGAACAAUAAGAGGGCCCUGAAUGAUACAGCAAUUAUAUGGCGUGAUGAAGGACAUGAUGAUCUUCCUGUGAAACGAGUGUCUGUAAAGGAGCUACGAGAAGACGUCUGGUUGGUUGCACAUGCCCUCCACAGACUUGGUUUGGAGAAAGGAUCUGCAAUUGCAAUUGACAUGCCAAUGAAUGUUCAAUCUGUGGUUAUUUACCUAGCUAUCGUUCUAGCAGGAUAUGUAGUUGUAUCAAUUGCUGACAGCUUUGCUCCACUUGAAAUAUCAACGAGACUUAAAAUAUCCGGAGCCAAGGCAAUUUUUACUCAGGAUGUAAUCAUUCGUGGAGAAAAAAGUAUACCUCUGUACAGUAGAGUUGUGGAUGCCCAAUCACCAAUGGCAAUAGUCAUUCCUGCAAAAGGUUCCACUAUGGAAUUGCGUGAUGGUGACAUUUCUUGGCAUGAUUUUCGACGAAGAGUCGAGCAUCUCAAGGAGGAAUUUGCUGCUGCAGAACAACCGGUGGAGGCUUUUACAAACAUCCUUUUUUCUUCUGGAACUACAGGGGAGCCAAAGGCAAUUCCAUGGACACAUGCGACUCCUUUUAAGGCUGCUGCAGAUGCUUGGUGCCACAUGGAUAUUCAUAAAGGUGAUGUUGUUGCCUGGCCCACUAACCUAGGGUGGAUGAUGGGUCCCUGGCUAGUUUAUGCUUCCCUUUUGAAUGGCGCUGCCAUGGCCCUAUAUAAUGGAUCCCCACUAGGUUCUGGCUUUGCAAAGUUCGUCCAGGAUGCUAAAGUAACAAUGCUGGGUGUCAUUCCAAGUCUCGUGCGAACGUGGAAGAAUUCAAAGUCCACAUCUGGCUAUGAUUGGUCAGCUAUACGUUGCUUUAGCUCUACUGGGGAAGCAUCUAAUGCAGACGAGUACCUAUGGUUGAUGGGCAGAGCUAAAUAUAAACCUGUUAUUGAAUAUUGUGGCGGUACAGAGAUUGGGGGCGCAUUUGUUUCAGGCUCGCUAUUGCAGGCACAGUCACUGGCUGCUUUCAGUACACCAGUAAUGGGUUGUAGUUUGUUUAUCCUUGGGGAUGAUGGCCUUCCAAUUCCACAAGAUGUUCCAGGAAUGGGGGAAUUGGCACUUGGAGCGGUCAUGUUUGGAUCUUCAAGUACACUGCUUAAUGCGAACCAUUACGAUGUCUACUUUAAAGGAAUGCCCCUUUGGAAAGGAAAAGUUUUGCGGAGGCAUGGUGAUGUAUUUGAGCGUACUUCUAAAGGAUACUAUCAUGCACAUGGUCGUGCAGAUGAUACUAUGAAUCUUGGAGGUAUCAAGGUGAGCUCCAUCGAGAUUGAGCGAAUUUGCAAUUCUGUUGACGAAAAUGUCCUUGAAACUGCUGCGAUUGGGGUGCCCCCUGCUGAAGGUGGACCUGAGCAAUUGAUAAUAGCUGCAGUGCUGAAGGAUUUAGAUAAACAAGUGCCUGAUACAGAUAAACUAAGGACGGCUUUCAAUUCAGCUGUGCAGAAGAGACUAAAUCCUUUGUUCAGGGUUUCUCGCGUUGUGCCCGUCUCAUCUCUUCCAAGGACAGCUACAAACAAGGUUAUGAGAAGGGUUUUGCGGCAGCAGUUGGUGCAACUUGACAAAAAGCCUAAGCUAUGAAGGACGAAAAUGUCCAAGCCACAUCAUUCUACGAAAGGUAUGUGCCCAUGGUCGUUUGGUAUACGCUAGCAGUACCGAGACAUAUGAUAAUGAAAAUGGAGGCAAAUGCUUCUGCAGCUAGCAGCAGUUCACAGGGAAUCCCUCUUUGGCCAUGUUAUAUGAUCCGUGGCAUCAAUUUUCACUAAACCAAGAUUUUACCCUCUGAAUUAUGUGACACAGAAGCUUGUAUCGACUGGGAGUCCAAGUACUGUAAUCUGGUGUCGGGAACAAAGAUCUAUGGUAAAAUAGAUAGAUGGGAUACAAGAUGGGUGGACUUGUGACGAUUGAUAAGGCUGAAUGCCAAUAUUUGUCUGAGAGGUGAAUAAAAAUGAGGAAAGCAGAAAUACCCAUUAGUACUGGGAUCACAUCAUGCAAGAAUAGAGUCCUCUUCCCUUGGACUGUGAAGUCAUCAAUCCUUCCAACCUUCAUAGUUCGAGUUAUAUCUUGUUCUCAAGUUCUCUUGGACUGUGCAGCAUAUUUUUCUGGUAUGUGUACUGUUUGUUCUUGGAA